CGCGGGCCGAGGCGCACCGGCGGGUCGCGUGCGCGGGCCGGGGUAAGAUUCCCGGUUCUCGGCAGGGGAAAUACCCCCUUUCGAAGCCGUUCCUUUGCGCCCUAAAACAAGUAGCCCCAACGUGAGAGAAACAAAAGGUAUUUGCUGACGUGGGCGUUGGACAGAAACGCCCGAGGGCUGGGGACACAAUUAAAGGGGCAACGCACAGAUUUCAGGCACCAACCAGCAGCUUCGCCCACUCCCCUGCCCUUGCCUACACCCUGCUGCACCCUCCAGAGGCACUGGGGUGCCCGGAUCCCCUAGCAGUUGACUACAGAGUCAUUAUUUAGUCAGGAGCUUAAAUUUUAAAUUGUACUUUACGUUGGGAAAGGCGCCUCCGGAGGGCAGAAGGGCUGGAUUUCUAGGAUCUGGGGAAUUUGGUUUAGGAAAGAGGGAGGGACUUAGGCGUGCCCACAAUUACUGUGUCACAAGCAUUUUCUUUGAAGAGGAUAACCCAAGGAGCUGAGAUAAGAGAAAAUAACUCUUGGUUAAGUUCAGAGAAAAUAUAAAACUAGUAAGAAUAGCAGGUUUUGUGUUUUCAAAUACAAAAAUUAAUUGUAUAUCAAGCCUUCUGAUAUAGUUAUGUCCCUAAUAUUUAGGGUUCUGACGUCAGGUUAUAUAUUUGCUAAAAUCUUAAGUCACUGAAUUUUCAUUGUUACUAUGGAAACAAUUCUAUAAACUAAAUUAGUUUUCUAGUUCUUUAUGUUGGGGUCAGGUACUGAAACGUACUGUGAUAUAGUAAAACUGAAAAAAAGACUCACAUUUUCAAAACAUUUAGUUUUUGAUGGAUUUCUCUCUUAUGUCAUACUCAGUUAUACUGGACAAAGUUUAUUACUUUGGUUUGAUCAUAAUUAGCUAUGCGUUUGGAGGAUCAUACUCUCUACUAGAAGGAUACAAAAUAUUCACAACUAUCUCUUAAUGUCACUUCUGUAUUACUCUUGAAUUGUUUUCCUAUUUAGUUGCAUGUCCUCACAUUCUGAACAGGUAAUUGAAAACGUGUUUGAAAGCCACUUGGUAUCAGGAGUGUUGGAUGUACUCAAACUCUUUUGCUAGCAUCCGCAUUGAGAAUUCUCCCAGAAAGACCUGGGCAUUGUUAUAGCCAAAGGGUUUUUUUGAUUUGUUUUGUUUUUUUAGCCUUAAUUAAUUAAAACAUGCAAAAGAAUUCUACAAACUUGUUCCUCAAGAGAGCACAUCAGAUGGGUGAUAAACUCUUUGUUUCAAGGAAGAAGUAAUGGGAAUUUUUUUCCCUCAACUUCCCCCUCUAGCUUCUGAAACUCAUUUAUAUAUUUGGAGAAUUCCUUACGUUAUGAGUAAUUGGUAGGAGGUGGAAUUUGCCUUCUGCAACAGAAUCUGGAAAUGCCAGUGACUUGCUUUCCCAGAAUCCCCUGUGGCUAAGACAAUGGCCAGGAUCUAUACUUUGAUAAUCGGAUGCACCCACCAGGGACUUUGAAGAGGGAGCUGUAAGAAACAGGAAACUCAAAGAAUCUUUUCUGACAGUGGUGAUAGUUGCAGCAAGAUAGUAUCUCCAGGUGCCACAGUGGCAGUGCCGCUAGUGGCAGUAUCCACUGUCCAGUUCCAGUGCUAUCAGUGGCACCAGCUGCCAUGGCUCUGCUGAGAGCAGUGUUGGUAUCCUCACCAGACCAGUUCUGUGGUAUGACUUGGCUAUUGUUUCUGCCUGGUUAGCAUAGGCUCCAAUCCCUGUGCUUUGCUCUUCCUGUGAUUCUGUGAACUUUUAAUACAUUCAUUUCUGUUUAGAUCAGCCAAGGCCAGUCUCUGUGCAACUAAGAACUCUAACUAGUACAAAAUGUUAAAAGGCAUUUGGACAUAUGGCCUGAAGCUUAAUAGAUAAAAUUGUUGGAGGUAAAAUGUUAUCAUCAAUGUUGUAUAGAUGGGAAUUAAAACCAUGAAUAUAGAUAGAAAAGAGAAUAUGAAGUAAGAGAAGAAACUAAGAACCAAGCAUCUCCAGCUUCAUCAUCUAGUGGCUGGCUAGAGGAAGGUGAAAUUGCAAAUGAGUCUAAAAAGUGACUAGAGUAGAAGGAAGAGAUGUGGGAUAGUGUGGUGUUACAGAAACUAGAAGAGAGUAAUUCAAGAAGGGAGAAUUGGACAAUAGUGUUAAAUACUUCUCUUAGCAGUCUAAGAGAAAAAGUCUAUUAGAUCUAACAACUUGGAAAUCAUUGACGUCAGAGAACAUUAUUAAGCUUGAAAGAAGGGAGCAAAAUCCAGAUUAUCGGACUACGUGGGGAUGAAGAAAUAGAGAUGGUGAGAAUAGACAACUCUUGAGAGAUUUGGUUAUAAAGGUGAUAUUCCAAUUACUAUUGCUGUGUAAAAAGCCAACCCAAACAUAGUGGCAUAAAUCAAAGAUUAUUUUAUUAUGCUCAUGGAUUCCAUGUGUUGCAGGAAGGUGGACCCCUUUUAGGGCCCAAGAGUGGGCUCUUGUCUAACACUCGGAAAUCAAUUGUCUGAGGAGACACAAGUGCUGACAAAGCAAGAGACUUUACUGGGAAGGGGCGUCCAGGUGGAGAGCAGCAGGUUGCUCUGGGAGAAGCCAACUGCCUGAGGAUUCUCAGGCAGCCAUGUGGAGAUGAACAGAGGCUUCCUGCCAACAGCCAUGUGAGUGAUCCAUCUUGGAGUGCAUCCUCCCACCCUAGACAAGCCUUCAGCUGACUGCAGCCCCAGCUAACAGCUUGACUCUCCCUCAGGAGAGACCCUGAGCCAGAACCAACCAGCUAAGCUGCUCCUGAAUUCCUGACCCUGAUAAACCUUGUAAAGUCCUCAAUGUUUGUUGUAUUAAGCCAUUAAGUUGUGGGGGUAAUUUUUUAUGAAACAACAGACAACUUAUACAGAUUGUGGUGAUUAAAAUUGCUACCAUAACAGGGACUUCUGUGGUGGUCCAGUGGUAAAGAAUCCACCUUCCAAUGUAAGGGACACGGGUUUGAUCCCUGGUCGGGAACUAAGAUCCCACAUGCCACGGGGCAACUAAGCCCGCGCGCCACAACUGCUGAGCCUGCACACCUCAACUAGAGAGAGAAAACCCACACACCACAACUAGAGAGAAGCCCACAUGCUGCAAUGAAGAGCCCGCGUGCCACAACAAAAAGAUCCCGCAUGCCACAAUGAAGAUCCCGCAUGCCACAAUGAAGACCUGACACAGCCAAAAAUAAAAGUAAAUAAAAUAAAUAUUUUUUUAGAAAGUACUACCAUUGGGCUUCCCUGGUGGUGCAGUGGUUAAGAAUCCGCCUGCCAAUGCAGGGGACACGGGUUUGAGCCCUGGUCCAGGAAGACCCCACAUGUCACAGAGCAACUAAGCCCCUACACCACAACUACUGAGCCCGUGCUCUAGAGCCUGUGAGCCACGACUACUGAAGCCCAUGUACCUAGAGCCCGUGCUCUGCGACAAGAGAAGCCACCGCAAUGAGAAGCCUGCGCAACACAACGAAGAGUAGCCCCCCACUUACCACAACUAGAGAAAGCCCCUGCGCAGCAGGAAAGACUUAGCACAGCCAAAAAUAAAUAAUUUUUUUUAAGUGCUACCAUAACAAAAACCUAAAAAUGUGACUUUGGAAAUGAACAGUGGGUUGAAGCUGGAAGGACUUGUAUGUAAGUGUUAGUGAAAUCUUGAGCCUUUCAAAAAAUAGUAGAGUCCUGGGCUUCCCUGUUGGCGCAGUGGUUGAGAAUCUGCCUACCAAUGUGGGGGACAUGGGCUCGAGCCCUGGUCUGGGAAGAUACCACAUGCCGCGGAUCGACUGGGCCUGUGAGCCACAAUUACUGAGCCUGCACGUCUGGAGCCUGUGCUCCACAACAAGAGAGGCCACAAUAGUGAGAGGCCUGCGCACCGUGCUGGAGAGUGGCCCCCUCUUGCCGCAACUGGAAAAAGCCCUUGUAUAGAAACAGAGACACAACACAGCCAAAAAUAAAUAAAUUAAUUAAUUAAUUAAAAAAAUAGUAGAGUCCUGAUUGCCUUUGAGGAAGCUGUAAAUGAGGACUUAAAGGAAAGUCAUAAAAAUCUUACUGGACAUUGAAGGAGAUGGUGUCCUUGUUAUGUACUGGCAGAAAUUUAGCAACACUGUUGCCUACUGUAAGGCAAAAAGUAGAAAAUGUACCUAGUGAAUUGGGUACUCUAGCUAAGGAGAUUUCCAAGCAGAGUGUUGAAGAGGUCACCUGGUAUCUUCUUGCCACUUGUAAAAUAUGAAAGAGAGAGAUAAACCAAAGUAAGGACUGUUAAACAAAAGGAAACCAGAGCUUGCUGGUUUUGAAAAGUCCUAGCCUCUCCAAGUGGUAAAUGAUGCUAAAAUUAAGAAAUGGCUUCUGAGAAUAGAUUAAAUGCCAGAAAACACAGUCUAAAGAUGAAAUCAAGGGAGUAGCUGUAAAAGCCUUUGUUAAGAUGAAGAAAGAUCUAAGGUGGUACCUCAGAGCACUCUUCAGUUGAUUUUAAAAGUCCUCUAAAGAUUUAAGAAUGUGACUCAUGGAUCCUCUCAAUCAAACAAUAGAAUUCUAAGAAGUUUAAGGGCAUUGUUCCUCAGCAGAGGGCCAGGAUAGAGAAGAACUUAUCUUGAAGAGCUUUGUGAGGGUGGCUUUUGUUUAACAGAGUGAACCCUAAGAAGAUUCACAGGAGAUACACGUUUUUAAAAGACUGUUCCGAGGAACACUGCUUAGACUGAAAGAAUCAAAGGCAAUACAAAAUGAAAAAAUAUCUUCUGACCCCCAAAAUUCAACUAGUAGGAUGCAAUCUGUGCAGACUAUGCAGUUGCAAACAUGGACUCUCUUUCAUGCAAAAGGAAGAGUGACUCAGAAGGAAGAACCAAGAGCCCAGAAGGUAGAACCAAAAGCCAUGGAGGAUUAUCACUAGGCCUUGAGUCCUAAUCAAGGAAUUUCCAACAUUUGCUCAGAUGGAUUUCAGAAUUGCUAUGGACCAAUGAUUCAUUUGUUCCUGCAUUUCUGCCUGUUUUGAAUAGGAAUGUCUAUAGUGGUUAUCUUAUAUGUACCCCCAUUGCCUGUUUGCUGUGUAUGAGGUAGAUAACUUGUCUUUUUAGUUCAUGGGUCUUCAGAUCAAAAGAAGCUGUACUUGAGGAGCUGUACCUAAGGAAUUACACCCUUAGGCAGAUGUGGAUUGGAGUGGUCAGAGACUCAAUGAAAUGGAAUUUUUAACCAGUCCCUGAAAUACGAACUGGAAAUUAAUGGACAGAAAGGAAGGGAGUAUAUUUUCUGAAUUGGGGCAAUGGUUUAUUGAUCAUUGCUUCAUUUGAAUUCUGUUUGGCUGAGAGUGACAGAAAACCCAAAGUAACAAUGGCUUAAACAAGAUGGAAGUUUACUUUUCUCUCACAAAAGAAUCUGGAGGUAGAUUAUCCAAGGCUAGUAUAGAAGCUCCAUUCUGUGAAGCCCUAAGGGAACCAGGCUGUUACCAACUCUCUGUUCUACCAUUUCUAAAGUGUGGCCCUCAUGCUCCUAUUCUAAAAUGGACCUCCAACUCCACAUUCCAAGCAGAAGGAUAGAGGAAGGGGAGAAGAGGAAUAAAGGGCAUGUACUUGUUGUCUCUUAAGGAAGAUUAUGGAACUGCCAUAUCACACUUUUAUUUACAUCCCAUUGGCUAAAACUUAGUCUCAUGGUCACAUCUAGCUGCAAGAGAAUCUAGGAAAUAUAACCUUUAAACAAGGUAGUAAUGUGUAUAGCUACAUGUUCUAUUACCAAAGAAGAAAGAGAGAAAAGAUACCGAGGGACAGCUAAUAGCCUUCUAUAGUCAAUAUUGUUAAUUGUGGAUAAUAGAAUCCACUCUAGGUAGUUUAAACAGAAGGGGAUUUAUUAGGCAAUAUUAGAUGGCUUAUGAAUCUCUAGGUGGUCCAGGGAAUCAUGUUUAAUUGCUGAAAGUUCAGGACAUUAGCAACCAAGAGAAACUGCCAACUGUACCACAUGGCUAUAGUUAUAGAACUCCCAAUGCUGCCUCUUCUUGAUACUAUGACAUUAGGAAUAGACAGGGCAGUCCCUGCCAGAGCUACCCCAGAAGAACCAAGUGCCUUCAGACUCUGCUUGCAAGAAGAGCUGAUCUACCCAUGAGUAUGGCUUCUACCUCACAUUUCUCAUUUCGUCCUUUCCAGUCUCAAGUCGAUGCAUCUAUUUAGUGAUGAACUAUAUAGCUUCAGGGGAGUCUAAGAAAUACAGUUUCUAGCUUUCCAGCCUAUGCAGUAUAAGAAUGCAUACUAGAAAUUGGGUCAUUUGUAGAGAUGUGGAUGGAUCUAGAAUCUGUCAUAAGUCAGAAAGAGAAAAAUAUCGCAUAUUAAUGCAUAUAUGUGGAAUCUAGAAAAAAUGGUACAGAUGAAUCUAUUUGUAGGGCAGGAAUAGAGACGCAGAUGUAGAGAACAUGGUCACAGGGUGAGAAGGGGAGGGUGGGAUGAAUUGGGAGAUUAGGA